CACAUAGUUUAUUCUUUUCUCUCUGCGUAAAUAUAUUUACCAAUAUAUAUAUAUAUAUUGAUUUCUUUACUUCCUAAUCUCCAUUACCAAUCAUUCAAACAAAGAAAAAACAGCAAUAAAUAUGGAUUAUUCCAAAACUCGUCUCGCCCUCCUCCUCUUGCUCUCGUUUGCCAUCGUUACUUUUGCUCGGAUCAUACCCCAUUCAGAAAACCAAGAGGUAGCAUAUACAAUAAAUGACUAUCCUGAUCCAGGAGCUAAUCCAAGACAUGAUCCAUUUCCACCUCCGCCACAACAAUUCGAGGUCAGCGUUGUCAAGGUCCAACACAUCAGGAAAAACCCCUAAAGAAAAAUUUACUCAUUAGAGAAGGAAGAAAGCAUCGGCAAGGAAGCUUGAAAAGAGAAAUAAUGUUGUGGAUGAGCCAAUAAUAAUACUAUAUAUAUAAUCGAUAAUUUAUAUAAUAAUUCCCUUUAUAUGCGUUGAGAAUGGAGUAAUAUGCAUUAUCAAAUUAAUGUAAUAAAUGCUGAAAAAAUAGUAUGGUGUAAUGAACAAUAUAUAUAUCCAAGGUUGUACUUAUUUAUAAAUAUAAAUAUAUAUAUAUAUAUAUAUAUAUAUAUAUAUAUAUAUAUAUAUAUUUAUAUAUAUAUAUAUUUAUAUAUAUGAUAAAGGGAAUUUGAAUCAAAAUUUUGUGAUAAUAAUUUAUCCUACUUUUUU